rnacentral:rRNA from 1 species
UACAGAGGGUGCGAGCGUUAAUCGGAAUUACUGGGCGUAAAGCGUGCGUAGACGGCUAUCUAAGUCGGGUGUGAAAGCCCCGGGCUCAACCUGGGAAUUGCAUUCGAGACUGAAUAGCUAGGGUACGGUAGAGGGAAGCGGAAUUUCCGGUGUAGCGGUGAAAUGCGUAGAUAUCGGAAGGAACAUCAGUGGCGAAGGCGGCCAUCUGGGACAACACUGACGCUGAAGCACGAAAGCGUGGGGAGCAAACAGG